CUUCACCCAGCCUCACAAAAUAAAAUAAAGAAAUGAAACUUACUAGGCAGACAAAACAGCAAACUUUCAGUCUGGGGAAACACAUCUUUGCUGGGACUUCUAAAAGCAAGCUGGAGCUAAAAUACUGUCCAACCGUGCUUCUUGUGCAUGCACAGUGCGUGCAAAUCACUAACAGUUUUGGCCAGAAAUGGUGAGAAGAAAAAGCAUGAAGAAGCCGCGAAGUGGAGGAGAAAAGGUGAAGGGAGAUGCAGUUCCUGGAGAAUUUGUAAAAAGCCUUGCAAAGAGUUGUCGGAAGGACCGUUAUUCCUGCUGGGCAGGAGAGAGAGGAGAGACCCUGAAACACACGCCACCUAUCUUUGUGGGGAGGGAUAAUUGAAGAGCACCAAACGUGAGCAUCAUGUGGAAACGUGAUCGCCAAGUUUCUCUCUGGGAAAGGAUCUGGGAUAGAUUAUACCUU